rnacentral:rRNA from 1 species
AACGAACGCUGGCGGCAUGCCUAACACAUGCAAGUCGAACGCCCUAGCAAUAGGGAGUGGCGCACGGGUGCGUAACGCGUGGGAAUAUGCCCUUCACUGCGGAAUAACGUUUGGAAACGAACGCUAAUACCGCAUAAUGACUCCGGUCCAAAGAUUUAUCGGUGAAGGAUUAGCCCGCGUUAGAUUAGCUAGUUGGUGAGGUAAUGGCUCACCAAGGCGACGAUCUAUAGCUGGUCUGAGAGGAUGAUCAGCCACACUGGGACUGAGACACGGCCCAGACUCCUACGGGAGGCAGCAGUGAGGAAUAUUGGACAAUGGGCGCAAGCCUGAUCCAGCCAUGCCGCGUGAGUGAAGAAGGGCCUUCGGGUUGGUUAAAGCUCUUUCUAGAUGUGAAGAUAAUAGACGGUAGCAUCAGAAGAAGA